AUUGGCUGACCACGAUCCAGAGUCAGUAAUGAGGCAUAUCUGUGCACCACACACAUGCCUGAUGCCCACGGAAGUUACAAGAUGACAUGGAUCUUUUGGAAGUGGAGUUACAGACAGUUGUGAACUGCCAUAUCACCUGUAAGAGAAUAAUACCAACAUAGUGGUACCAAGGUCUUCAGCUGUUCCUGUGGGCCUGUGUCUUGAGUUCACCAGGCAGGUUUCUUGCAGCAGAAAAGUUGGUCUUACCUGUGGUCCCGAGGCUCAAGUUCACUCGCGGGGUGCUGCCCAAGAGCUCUCUGCGGCGGCAGCAACCAGGAAGAUCUGCGCCGCCGUUUCCGGGAGCUUCAGUGCACCAGGAUUACAGAUGGCGUUUGGUGUUUUCCUCUGGCGUCCGAGAUGUGUGCAGAGUGCAGUGUCUUCUGGUUUCCCAGGCGUGUCUGCCUCUCUGAAGGUUUAGCUCUCCCUCCCACGGGAUUUGGGUGCAGAGAACUGUUUAUCUGGUCUGUUCCUUCAGGUUCCGGGGGUGUCUCAGGCGCAGGGGUCUUGCCGCUCCUGGGCCCUCCCUCACGGGAACCCAGAGGCCGCAUACAGUUUCCUCUUGGGCCUGGGAUGUGGGCAGGGGUGGGCAGUGUUGGUGGUCUCUUCUGCUCUGCAGCCUCAGGAGUGCCCACCUGACCAGGCGGUGAGGUCUCUCUCCCAC
rnacentral:lncRNA from 1 species